UGAGGAAACAGCAACCAAAUAUUCGGCUACUACUAAUCUUUACUUCUUGUUCUUUGGCCUCUCAUUCUACAUCUUACUGUGAAACAGAUAUCGGUCCAUACACACCGAGGAAAUCUUGGUCCACAUAUGCUGAUGCCAGAACGGUCCCGGUUCAUAUACACCGCUUGUUACUACUAUGGUCGGUUGCCAAGGACAACCCCGAGUUUUGGAGCCUAAGUCCAAGUAUCAGGGACUGUAUUCCCUCUGAUUUACUUACUUUCCUUUUUUCUGCUGCCUUUACAUACUACGGCCGGUUGCUAGGGGCAACCACAAGAUAUGGAACCCCAGCCCUAGCAACAGUGACCGCACUUCCCUUUGUUUACUUACCUGCUCUGUGUAUGCUGUGUUUACUUUCAGCCCUCACUAGACCUUUUGCUGUCCCCCAGGAAUGGAUACAUUAUGCCUUUAUUUAAUAUUAUUCAAUCAAGCUAUAUACACCCUGUGAUCUAUACAGCGAUAUUGAUAUGGCCUCAUUUUUCGCAUGGGGAUAAU